CUGUAGCUCAACUGGUAGAGCAGCGGGCUUUUAACCCGUUGGUUGUGAGUUCAAGCCUCAUCAGA
rnacentral:tRNA from 1 species